rnacentral:rRNA from 1 species
AUUGAACGCUGGCGGAAUGCUUUACACAUGCAAGUCGAACGGCAGCACGGACUUCGGUCUGGUGGCGAGUGGCGAACGGGUGAGUAACAUAUCGGAACGUAUCCAAUAAUGGGGGAUAACUAAUCGAAAGGUUGGCUAAUACCGCAUACGCCCUACGGGGGAAAGCUAGGGACCUUCGGGCCUGGCGUUAAUGGAGCGGCCGAUAUCUGAUUAGCUAGUUGGUGAGGUAAAGGCUCACCAAGGCGACGAUCAGUAGCUGGUCUGAGAGGACGACCAGCCACACUGGAACUGAGACACGGUCCAGACUCCUACGGGAGGCAGCAGUGGGGAAUUUUGGACAAUGGGCGCAAGCCUGAUCCAGCCAUUCCGCGUGAGUGAAGAAGGCCUUCGGGUUGUAAAGCUCUUUCGCAAGGGAAGAAAACUUAUCCUCUAACAUAGGAUGAGGUUGACGGUACCUUGAUAAGAAGCACCGGCUAACUACGUG